CUUUUUUUUGUUUUAAUUUUUUUUUAUUUAAUCUCAAUCUCUAUAAAAAUCAAAGCUCUUGUUGCCCAACAUACACACCGAUGGUAGAUGGGUUCUCAAUCCAAGGUCUAUGAGGACCCUGCAGCUGCUGGUGGGUUUUCUGUGUGGGGCGAUUACUUGCACUUCCACCAUGGAACUAACAUACUUGAUGAGAACCCUUUUUCCUAUAUCUAGCAAACAAAUUUAAACAAGCUAUCAACCAGAUGUUCAUCAUCCGGGUGAGUGGUUUCCUUGCUAUUCUUGUCAAGUGAUCAGUCUUUUGCGAAUUAGUCUGGGCUUCGUUGUCUGUUCGACCUUGUUCAAAAGCAUAUAUAUUUAGGACUAUCAAACCUCCAAUUUAGAUGGGUUUAACACGAACAAGAUCAAGAUGUAAUGAAAACAACCCUGGUUAAUUAGCGUCUUCUAUGAUGGAAUAAUAAGAUCUCAAAAUAUAAUGUAUUAGUUUUGGUCCUUCCUCUAUUGGUAUGCCAUGCAUAUGCACAUGCAUCUUAUGCACCACAUAACCCAUGUAUCUUAUGAGGAAUUAAGUUAUGGAAUAAUGUAAUUACCAUAAGAAGGAAAGGAAAUAGUGAUUAAGGGUUUCAACAUAAAUACAAUCCAAAUAUAUUAGAUUUUCAUAUCUGCAAUGAAAUAUAUAUUUGUCAAUACCAAGUUAUAGGUAGUGGUUCAUAGAAGAGGAAGAAAUACAUGUUUGUUUCUAUAUCUCUGUGAAUUCCUAAUGGAUUUCCUAGAACGAUAGAACUAGCUAGAUGAAAUGAGAUAUAUAUAUAUACUAAGAUUUCCUUCUCAUGAUCUCAUCAAUGUCCGUUAUAUCCUCUGUAAAAGUUUUCUUUUCCAUGAAAGAAGUGAAAAAGAGAAGUUUAUUGCACAAUAAAUUCCUUGUAAAGUAUGUACAAUUAUGAUUCACGAUAUAUAGCCAGAGCCUUACACAUAAAGAACUGAAAAAGUUUAGGUAUUCUUGAUUACAAAGUUCAAUAAAUUAAGUCAUCAACUUUUAGAGUUUGGAAGAAGAAGAAGAUAUCCCUUUAUUCUGAAAUGGCCUGAUUACAUUUUUGUACAUUUUUAUUAUUUUUCUUGUUUGGGUUAAGCUUGUACUGUUCCUUCCCGUGAGGAGUGUUUGACACUUGUGAGGGACCAUAACCUUUUUUACACGAAACCCAUUUAGGGCCAUAACUCUUUUUUCUUUUAUUUAUUGAGAAUGGGCGGCUAGAUGUAUAAGCUUUAUAUACACUUGAAGAUCUAGACAAUAAUUUUUCCUUUAUUCACAGGUCACAGUUAAUGGUUAAAGCUAAAGAAUUGCCUUAAUAUCUAUAUACUAUACUUAAGACCAUGCACUAGACGGAUAGAGGGAAAUCAAAUGUAAUAAAAAUACUAGAUUAAUUAUAACAAUAAUAAUGAACAUUGGUUGAUCAGGUGAUCAGAAUGUGGCUGUUAAGAGUAUAAAUUUGGAAAUCUCCUCUUUUAUUAACUUUUUCUUU